GUUAUAUUAGCCUUUCUUCCAUGCACUUUUUUAAUUAGGUGUAAACAGUUCUGUUGUAUGUCUAUUACUAAGGAAUUACUGCAGAUCCAGUAACAAAUUUUCUUGGAAUAGAUCUAAUUCAAGAUCAGAGGUGGACUCAUCUCAUGCUUAUUAUCCUAUCCCAUUAUCCAAUUUUCUAUUUCAAUAUUCCUAUCUGCGUUUAUUUACCA
rnacentral:misc_RNA from 1 species